UACGGGGGGGGCAAGCGUUGUUCGGAAUUACUGGGCGUAAAGGGCUCGUAGGUGGCCAACUAAGUCAGACGUGAAAUCCCCAGGCUCAACUUGGGAACUGCGUCUGAUACUGGAUGGCUUGAAUUCGGGAGAGGGAUGCAGAAUUCCAGGUGUAGCGGUGAAAUGCGUAGAUAUCUGGAGGAACACCGAUUGCGAAGGCAGCUCGCUGGGACGUAACUGACGCUGAGACGGCGAAAAGCGUGGGGAGCAAACAGG
rnacentral:rRNA from 1 species